CCAACUACGUGCCAGCAGCCGCGGUAAGACGUAGGGCGCGAGCGUUGUCCGGAUUUAUUGGGCGUAAAGAGCUCGUAGGCGGCUUGUCGCGUCGACUGUGAAAACCCACAGCUCAACUGUGGGCUUGCAGUCGAUACGGGCAGGCUAGAGUUCGGUAGGGGAGACUGGAAUUCCUGGUGUAGCGGUGAAAUGCGUAGAUAUCAGGAGGAACACCGGUGGCGAAGGCGGGUCUCUGGGCCGAUACUGACGCUGAGGAGCGAAAGCGUGGGGAGCGAACAGGAUUAGAUACCCUGGUAGUCCACGCUGUAAACGUUGGGCGCUAGGUGUGGGGGGCCUCUCCGGUUCUCUGUGCCGCAGCUAACGCAUUAAGCGCCCCGCCUGGGGAGUACGGCCGCAAGGCUAAAACUCAAAGGAAUUGACGGGGGCCCGCACAAGCGGCGGAGCAUGCGGAUUAUUCGAUGCAACGCGAAGAACCUUACCUGGGUUUGACAUCGCCGGAAAUCUCGCAAGAUGCGGGUCCUUCGGGGCCGGUGACAGGUGGUGCAUGGCUGUCGUCAGC
rnacentral:rRNA from 1 species